rnacentral:lncRNA from 1 species
GACAAUUGAGGUUACAAAUCAAAAUGCAAUUGCUCAUGUACAACACUCUGGUAGACUAGAUUAUCGGAUGCAUUUCUGAACUUAGGCAUGAGAAUAUGACUCUCAAAGACAUUGAAAAAAUGGAACAUAUCCUUGUUAGACAUAUGCUCUUACCUGAAUUUCAAACUCAAAGUUGGAGUAACAUAACUAGGAAGUGAAAUAACAACUUUAGAUCAGUGAAUAUGGCUACUACUGAGCAGCAGCAACAUACUCUAGUAGACAGCAAUGAAAGGGGCAUCUGCCGUAACUCUUUAUAAAGUAACUGCGCCAAAAUGAUAAGCGAAAUAAUCAAUUUCUGCCAUUAAACUACAUUUUAUGCUUAACCCCAUUACUAAAAGUAGGAUAUUGUUAACACUGGAACACAAAAUCAUUUCUGUGAUUCUUUGAAACACUUACCUUUCUAAAGCAAUAUCUCCACUUUUCCUUCAAUUUGGCCUUUCUGUAGUCUGUAUCCUUGAGCUAAAACUCUUCAAUAUGAUUAGCCUGUAAAAUAGAAGGAUGUAAUAAGUUUAGGAAAAUACAGAUUUAACGCUCUUUCCAUAACAAUGGAUUGAGUGAUUGUAACUGCAUGUAAAUUAUUGGCAUGUUUAUUAUUUGCAUCCGCUGUAAUUUCAUCAUUCAUCCCCUAAUAUUAAAAUGGAAAAAGGUAUUCCAAAGUUAUGUUUUUCCCCCUUCAAUCAAACACAUAUAUAAGAUACAGACUCACGCAGUUAGUUGACCGGUUGUGCCAUAUCUUUCUCCAGUUUCCCACACCCAUGAUUCUCUGUUCCUACAAGUAAGGUUAGUUUGCUAGAGAAAAACAAGUAGUACAACAAGAAUAGGGAAUCAGAAACAAAAAAAAAAAAAAAAAUGAAAGAAAACAAUGAUGCAAGAAAACAAAAAUGGGAUAUCACCUUUCAAUGGAAAGAGUUGGAAAAAGAAUCUCUGAGUUGUUUCUUUCUAUCCCAAGAGAAUAAUGUCAGUGCCACUAGUGAUCAUAAGAUUGGCCUUUUUCCUCUAAAUCAUUUUCUCAACCCUUCACAAUUGACUUCUAAAACCUUAAGUUUCUUGAAAUUUAAACUUCCAUGAAUGUUCUUCCAUAUUUCAAUUGACUUGGAAAAUUCAGCCUACAAAAUCUGACAAAGAAACAAGGAUUAAAAUUCAUAAAGGUUAUAACGAAGCCAACCCAAACCAUAUGAAAGAAAGAAUGAUAAUAUGGAAUAAGCUAGAAUAACUAAAGCUAAAUUAAAGUAAUAUACAAUAAUACCUUUAUUGAAUACAUUUCUUGGAUAGUGUUGUUAAGGUCACUACAC